GACGAACGCUGGCGGCGUGCCUAAUACAUGCAAGUCGAGCGGAAGUUGGAGAGCUUGCUCUUCAACUUUAGCGGCGGACGGGUGAGUAACACGUGGGCAACCUGCCCUGCAGAUCGGGAUAACUCCGGGAAACCGGUGCUAAUACCGAAUAGUUUUCGCCACCUCCUGGUGGCGUACGGAAAGACGGUUUCGGCUGUCACUGCAGGAUGGGCCCGCGGCGCAUUAGCUAGUUGGUGGGGUAACGGCCAACCAAGGCAACGAUGCGUAGCCGACCUGAGAGGGUGAUCGGCCACACUGGGACUGAGACACGGCCCAGACUCCUACGGGAGGCAGCAGUAGGGAAUCUUCCGCAAUGGACGAAAGUCUGACGGAGCAACGCCGCGUGAGUGACGAAGGUUUUCGGAUCGUAAAACUCUGUUGUGAGGGAAGAACAAGUACCACUUAACUACUGGUACCUUGACGGUACCUCACCAGAAAGCCACGGCUAACUACGUGCCAGCAGCCGCGGUAA
rnacentral:rRNA from 1 species